UUCUGAGUUAUUUAGAGAUAAAGAGUCUGACCUGCCCGGUGCCUAUUAGGUAAACGGCCGCAGCUUAAACUGUGAUAAUGUAGCGCAAUAAAUUGUCCUUUAAUAUGGGAAGAGUAUGAAUGGUYUGAUGUGAUCAGAUCUGUGUCGGAAGUAAGUCGUGAAGUUUCCUUCUUGGUGAAAAGGCCAAGAUCUUUGUAAUAGACGAGAAGACCCCAUCGAGCUUGGUUAGGUAGUUGUUUUGGAUUUCUUUGUAAGGUAGUUUUAUUAGUUAUAAGUUUAAUAUGCAAAUAUUACUUAUAUAUUAUUGGGGUAAAUGACAUCUGUUUGUGAAAGUGUUGUGCAUGUGUAAUGUGUUUCUAGUUUAAGUUAUUAUGUUGUACAAUURCUUAUUAUUGUAAUUUAUUAUCAGUGCAAAAGGGUGACUUUGAUUUYUGCGACUACUGAUGUUUUGUUGGGGCAACACAAAGCUAAAAAGAACGCUUUGAGUUUAUGUUUAUUGAUCCUGUUAUGAUGGAUAAAUUGCAAAAGCUACCGUGGGGAUAACAGCGUAAUUUUUUCUUGAUAGGUCUUAUUGAUGGAAGAGAUUGCGACCUCGAUGUUGAAUCAGGGUUUCUSUGUGCUGCAGSAGGUAUGGGAGUGGGUCUGUUCGCCCUUUAAA
rnacentral:rRNA from 1 species